GCAGGAUUCGUACAUCGGUAGUACAUCGGCUUCCCAAGCCGAGGAGGCGGGUUCGACUCCCGUAUCCUGCUCCA
rnacentral:tRNA from 3 species